rnacentral:rRNA from 1 species
CCUACGGGUGACAGCAGUGGGGAAUAUUGCACAAUGGGGGAAACCCUGAUGCAGCGACGCCGCGUGAGUGAAGAAGUAAUUCGUUAUGUAAAGCUCUAUCAGCAGGGAAGAAAAUGACGGUACCUGAGUAAGAAGCCCCGGCUAACUACGUGCCAGCAGCCGCGGUAAUACGUAGGGGGCAAGCGUUAUCCGGAUUUACUGGGUAGAAAGGGAGCGUAGACGGCAGUGCAAGUCUGGAGUGAAAGGCGGGGGCUCAACCCCCGGACUGCUCUGGAAACUGUACGGCUGGAGUGCAGGAGAGGUAAGUGGAAUUCCUAGUGUAGCGGUGAAAUGCGUAGAUAUUAGGAGGAACACCAGUGGCGAAGGCGGCUUACUGGACUGUAACUGACGUUGAGGCUCGAAAGCGUGGGGAGCAAACAGGAUUAGAUACCCCUGUAGUC